GUCUUAAGUAAAGCAAGGUUAUAAAACGACACACUAUAUCCUCCCGCACGCCAAGGGAUAUGGCAUUCGCUGUCAAGGCUGUUGUCAGCGUCACGCUAAGUGAAAAAGCUUUCCUCGGUUGAACUUUUCCUUCAGAAAUAAAAAUCGCCAAAAAAAAGAAAAUGAAUGUCAUAAUUCAAUUUGUUUGGAAGAUUAUAUAGAUGAGCUAUGACAAACAUGAAUGAUGGUAGCAUAAUUAUGGAAUCGUAAAACUGGAUUAGAACACUGUCGAGUUGGAUUUCUUUCUUGGAUACAACGAUUAUUGUUCUGUUGAAUAAGCCCAUUGGCGAUAUUCAGAUGAUCUGUGUCGAACGUUGCAGCAUAAAAAUGAAAUCAUAAAACUAGACUAGAACUCUUGCCAAUUCGGAAGAUAUUAGAUUUGUUUCUGGAAUAACGAUUGUUGUUCUGUUGAAUAAGCACACUGGCGAUACGCAUCAGUGAAAAAACACUUAAUUAAACCCAUCUUCGUAUUUAUUCGCAAAUAAUGUAGACAUCAGCCAUUCGCUUUCAUUGUACCAUGUUUCACAACAUGUUUUCGAAGCACAAUCCGAAAUACUCAAACUGAUUGACGUGUAGGAUGUGACCAAUGAAAACGGUACUUUAGAAUUACGAUUGAAGAGAUUCUUUUGGAAUAUAAUAAGUUUUUAAGAAAAAAACAAUCGUACAAAAGACAUUUAUGUUGGUGACAGUUCUUGGAUCUUGAAUGAUAUUAAAUAAUAUGUUCUGUUCGCCAAUUAUAUAAAAAACGAUGCCAAAACGUGUCUAUGUGGAAUAUUUGAUAAGUUCUGUGACAAUUGUUUAGAAAAUGACUGUAUUUCGUUAGAAUAUUUAAUUUAGCAUAAUUAUUGUGCUUUAUUUUUAAAAACUGUUGAUUAAGUGGUAGAUUGGUUAAUUGCUCUGCCUUCAUGUUUUGGAAAGUUUAUUACUGAUUUAUAUUAAACAUUUAUGCUUCAAGUCAAGAUAGUUAGGUUGGAAUUUUGGAAUAUAUUGUAAUGCAUAACUUUUUGCAAUAGUUUAGAUUUUCAAUUUGUUCUUCCAAAAAAAAUCCAUAUUGCGUUUAAUUGAUCAUACUUCUCCAAUUCAAGACACACUAAAACUUUUUAAGAAUUAUGGAAAGCUAUUUUAGUGCAUUUUCGAGAUUUUUUCAAAGAAACUUGAGGACUAUAGCUAGCUCACCUUUCUUAGUCUUUAAAAUCUUUUGAAGGGCGUUCGAAACGGACCAUUAUCAACGUCAAUUUUCGUCAAUUUUAUAGUAUUUAGCUGCUUAAAAAAUGCAAAUCUUAAUCUUUACCUGUUUGUGGAUAUUUCUUAAAGUGUUGCCAACCUAUUCAGAAGAACCCGUAAUUAUUCUUGGUGAAGAAGACACUAUUGAAGAAAAACUUCCAAAUUCCCAUAGUGCAGCCAUAGCUAUGGGCUUCGUGUUUCUCCUGGUAUUUCUGUACUGUAUAUACAGAGUGUGUACGAAGCAGUGCUGCCCUCAACCAGUUAUAGCAAAUGUUGACGAGCCAUCUCCCGACGAGAUAGACAAUUACAUUAAAGAACAUCAAGCCUACUUGGCUAUUUACGGACAAAAGCAGGACCCUAGAAGGAAUUCUUGCAUAUGUGAAUACAAGUCUGAGACAAAUGUACAGAAUGGAAAUCCAGUCAGAUAUUGACAAAUUUACCAACAGGCUGAAGUUAUGGAUUAGAAACCUACUCAGUGAAACUUUUCUUUUAUUCAGACUUAAACAAUUAACCACUAAAGUACAAAAGACAGUGUUGUUGCCUGUAUUUUCGUAUCAAGUGUAGAUAGAAAGCAGUAUUAAGUGUAUAAACCAUUAAACUCAGCAGAAGUGUAGUUUUAAUUAUGAUUAAAAUAAUAAUAAAUACUUA